GACAGAGGGGGCGAGCGUUGUCCGGAGUGACUGGGCGUACAGUGCGCGCAGGCGGGCCGUGACGUGCCUUGUGACAGCGCCCCGCUUAACGGGGCGAGGCCACGGUAGACGCACGACCUAGAGGCAGGGAGAGGGCAGUGGAAUACCCGGUGGAGCGGUGAAAUGCGUAGAGAUCGGGUGGAACACCAGGGGCGAAGGCGACUGCCUGGCCCUGGCCUGACGCUGAGGCGCGAGAGCGUGGGGAGCAAACGGG
rnacentral:rRNA from 1 species